CCUACGGGUGGCAGCAGUGAGGAAUAUUGGUCAAUGGGCGAGAGCCUGAACCAGCCAAGUCGCGUGAGGGAGUACUGCCCUAUGGGUUGUAAACCUCUUUUGUCGGGGAGCAAAAGCCGGACGUGUCCGGCUGUGAGAGUACCCGAUGAAAAAGCAUCGGCUAACUCCGUGCCAGCAGCCGCGGUAAUACGGAGGAUGCGAGGGUUAUCCGGAUUUAUUGGGCGUAAAGUGAGCGUAGGCGGGCGUUCAAGUCAGCUGUAAAAUCGCGCGGCUCAACCGCGCCCCGCAGUUGAAACUGGACGCCUUGAGUUCACAACAGGCAGGCGGAAUUCCUGGUGUAGCGGUGAAAUGCGUAGAUAUCAGGAGGAAUACCGUUAGCGAAGGCGGCAAGCUGGCUGGAAACUGACGCUGAGGUGCGAAAGCGUGGGUAGCAAACAGGAUUAGAUACCCUUGUAGUC
rnacentral:rRNA from 1 species